UACGUAGGGUGCGAGCGUUGUCCGGAAUUACUGGGCGUAAAGAGCUCGUAGGUGGUUUGUCGCGUCGUCUGUGAAAUUCCGGGGCUUAACUCCGGGCGUGCAGGCGAUACGGGCAAACUGGAGUGCUGUAGGGGAGACUGGAAUUCCUGGUGUAGCGGUGGAAUGCGCAGAUAUCAGGAGGAACACCGAUGGCGAAGGCAGGUCUCUGGGCAGUUACUGACACUGAGGAGCGAAAGCAUGGGUAGCGAACAGG
rnacentral:rRNA from 1 species